CUAAAUGGAGAGUUUGAUCCUGGCUCAGGACGAACGCUGGCGGCGUGCCUAAUACAUGCAAGUCGAGCG
rnacentral:rRNA from 1 species